rnacentral:rRNA from 1 species
UACGUAGGGUGCGAGCGUUAAUCGGAAUUACUGGGCGUAAAGCGUGCGCAGGCGGUUCGUUGUGUCGGCGGGGAAAGCCCCGGGCUUAACCUGGGAAUGGCCGUCGAAACUGGCGAACUGGAGUGUGGCAGAGGGGGGUGGAAUUCCGCGUGUAGCAGUGAAAUGCGUAGAGAUGCGGAGGAACACCGAUGGCGAAGGCAGCCCCCUGGGCUGACACUGACGCUCAGGCACGAAAGCGUGGGGAGCAAACAGG